rnacentral:rRNA from 1 species
AAUCAACGCUGGCGGCGUGCCUCAGACAUGCAAGUCGAACGAUUAAAGCUCUCUUCGGAGAGUGUAUAGAGUGGCGCACGGGUGAGUAACACGUAAGUAAUCUACCUUUGAGUGGGGAAUAACAGUCGGAAACGGCUGCUAAUACCGCAUAAUGCAGCGGCACCGCAAGGUGACAGUUGUUAAAGGAGCAAUCCGCUUAAAGAGGAGCUUGCGGCAGAUUAGCUAGUUGGUAAGGUAAUGGCUUACCAAGGCUACGAUCUGUAUCCGGUCUAAGAGGACGGUCGGACACACUGACACUGAAUAACGGGUCAGACUCCUACGGGAGGCAGCAGUCGGGAAUUUUGGGCAAUGGGCGAAAGCCUGACCCAGCAACGCCGCGUGAAGGAUGAAGUAUUUCGGUAUGUAAACUUCGAAAGAAUAGGAAGAAUAAAUGACGGUACUAUUUAUAAGGUCCGGCUAACUACGUG